GGAUGUGGCGGAAUUGGUAGACGCGUUAGAUUUAGGUUCUAGUAGGUUUUCCUGUGGGGGUUCAAGUCCCCC
rnacentral:tRNA from 1 species